rnacentral:ribozyme from 13 species
AUAGGUUUCAUGGGAUCAAAAGAGAUCUUCAUUUCAGCGCCCCCUUCUUCCUUUUCCUUUUCCUUUUCUUUUUCUUUUUCUAUUUUUGUCUCAACUG